UUUUUUAAGAAACUGAUAUUUAGAACAGAUUUUGUCUUUUAGGCCCCAUGUAUCAUUUGCAUUUAAAAGGAAAACAGUGUGUAUCCUAAACCAAAGUCAGUUAAUCUCUACAAUCUUUCUUCUUCCCAAUUACUAUGAAUGAGCAUCCUCUCAGGACGCAAGUGAUGGUGACUCUUAUUUCUGCCUCCUAAAGACAUGUCUCAGCUUCGCAGAGUUUUUCGGUUUUUUGUUUUUUUUUUUUUUUUUUUCUUUUCCUUUUUGGCUGUACAAUGGAACUUGGAUGCAUUUUAAAUUAACUUUCUCUAGGAAUCAAAGAAUAACCUCCAAGGACGUGAGCUCGCACUAAGAGGAUUGAGGAAAUGUGUCCACAGCCUGUUCUUGCUGAGCUGACCCAAACACUUAGAAGAACACGAUAUGAAUCAGCAGCCUCGCUUUCCGUGAAAAGUGCAACCACAACUGGCCAUCUGCACUGGCAUACAGUCAGGCAAUUGUCCAAGGCAAGUAUCAUUUUGCAUUCUUCUGAGUAUCCUAAGGAAGCUUUGCUACCCAGCCCACCAAGGAAUGUGAUGAAGAGACCCGGUCCAA